rnacentral:rRNA from 1 species
UACGAAGGGUGCUAGCGUUGCUCGGAAUUACUGGGCGUAAAGCGCGCGUAGGCGGUCUUUUAAGUCGGGGGUGAAAUCCUGGAGCUCAACUCCAGAACUGCCUUCGAUACUGGAAGACUUGAGUUCGGGAGAGGUGAGUGGAACUGCGAGUGUAGAGGUGAAAUUCGUAGAUAUUCGGAAGAACACCAGUGGCGAAGGCGGCUCACUGGCCCGGUACUGACGCUGAGGCACGAAAGCGUGGGGAGCAAACAGG